rnacentral:ncRNA from 1 species
GCGACCGCCUCCUGAACUGUCGGGCACCGUAUGGGGAAACUCAACGAGUGAAUGUAGUCAAAUUCGGUGAAACCUAAAGAGUAAUCUUGAUUGCUUCAUGGCAAUACCGAGCCAAGCCCUUGCAUACUUUUCUCCUUAACAAUUAGGAGAGUACACAAAAGGGAAGGUGUAGAGACUAGACGGCUACCGCCUAAAUGCUUGUGUCACAAGACAUGGGCGCAUGGUGAAGGUAUAGUCCAGAGAGUGAGGAAACUCACAC